UGCAAGUAGAACGCUGAAGGAAGGAGCUUGCUCCUUUCCGGAUGAGUUGCGAACGGGUGAGUAACGCGUAGGUAACCUGCCUGGUAGCGGGGGAUAACUAUUGGAAACGAUAGCUAAUACCGCAUAACAGUAGAUAUUGCAUGAUAUCUGCUUGAAAGGUGCAAAUGCAUCACUACCAGAUGGACCUGCGUUGUAUUAGCUAGUUGGUGAGGUAACGGCUCACCAAGGCGACGAUACAUAGCCGACCUGAGAGGGUGAUCGGCCACACUGGGACUGAGACACGGCCCAGACUCCUACGGGAGGCAGCAGUAGGGAAUCUUCGGCAAUGGACGGAAGUCUGACCGAGCAACGCCGCGUGAGUGAAGAAGGUUUUCGGAUCGUAAAGCUCUGUUGUAAGAGAAGAACGAGUGUGAGAGUGGAAAGUUCACACUGUGACGGUAUCUUACCAGAAAGGGACGGCUAACUACGUGCCAGCAGCCGCGGUAAUACGUAGGUCCCGAGCGUUAUCCGGAUUUAUUGGGCGUAAAGCGAGCGCAGGCGGUUAGAUAAGUCUGAAGUUAAAGGCUGUGGCUUAACCAUAGUACGCUUUGGAAACUGUUUAACUUGAGUGCAAGAGGGGAGAGUGGA
rnacentral:rRNA from 1 species